rnacentral:tRNA from 1 species
UGGGGUGCAGCUCAGUGGUUGAGCUCUUUCCUAGCAUGCAUGUGACCUUAUGUUCAAUCCCUAGCACCUCAA